rnacentral:ncRNA from 1 species
CUACGGACUUAAUUGGAUUGAGCCUUGGUAUGGAAACUUACUAAGUGAUCACUUUCAAAUUCAGAGAAACCCUGGAAUGAACAAAAAUGGGCAAUACUGAGCCAAAUGCUAUUUUCUGAAAACAAAUAAAGGGUCAGAAAAAAGGAUAGGUGCAGAGACUCAAUGGAAGCUAUUCUAACAAAUGGAGUUAAAUGUGUUGGUAGAGGAAUCUUUACAUCGAAACUUCAGAAAGAAAAAGAAUGAAAUGAAGGAUAAAUGUAUAUACAUACGUAUUGAAUACUAUAUCAAAUGAUUAAUGAUGACCCAAAUCCCUGAUCAAAUCAUUCACUCCAUAGUCUGAUAGAUCUUUUGAAGAACUGAUUAAUAGGAUGAGAAUAAAGAUAGAGUCCCGUUCUACAUGUCAAUACCGG